GCGGUGGCGCGGCUGGAGUGCCGCGGGGAGGGCUGUGCCGGUUGCUUUCUGCAGCCGCAUCUCGGCCAGCUCUCCUCGCCGUCCCCGGGGCGCUGUGCGUCUCCAGUCCGGGACCGAAGCCGCCUGCCGUAGCGGGCGGCCAGAUCCGCGUCCCGCCUCAGCGGCCGGAGGACAUGCGGGAGAGAGAAUGAGCCAGAGGGACACGCUGGUGCAUCUGUUUGCCGGAGGAUGUGGUGGUACAGUGGGAGCUAUUCUGACAUGUCCACUGGAAGUUGUAAAAACACGACUGCAGUCAUCUUCUGUGACGCUUUAUAUUUCUGAAGUUCAGCUGAACACCAUGGCUGGAGCCAGUGUCAACCGAGUAGUGUCUCCCGGACCUCUUCAUUGCCUAAAAGCAAUAUACUUUGCUGCUUAUUCAAACUGCAAGGAAAAGUUGAAUGAUGUAUUUGAUCCUGAUUCUACCCAAGUACAUAUGAUUUCAGCUGCAAUGGCAGGUAUGAAUGUAUAAUAUUAAAAAACAAAAAACUUUCUGAAACCUAGAGGCUUAAUAUUGAAUUAUAAGUUUGUAGUGAAAAGUUGAUGAUUAAUGUGCUUUUCAUUGAUUAGAUGAUUUUUAUAUUUAUCGAUAUAAACCAAAUUAGGUAUAUGUAAAAUCUGUCAUCAGUUGACAUUUUUGUAGUCAGGAGUUUACAUGCUAGGGUACAAGUAAUAUAUUUAUAUUGCCUUGUGUAGUCCAC
rnacentral:sRNA from 1 species